ACGACUGCGAUGGAGACGCAGCGGAGCAGCAGGAAUGAGAGAGAAAGGGCAGAGCCGCAGAGGGGAGAGAUGGAGGAAGCGCCGCUGGAUCUGACCUCCGGCACGAGCGGGAGGAUCAUCCCGGUCAUCCGGAAGAUACGGCAGUCGGUGCCGUCUCCGCCCGGGUUCCCUUUUCCGCGCCAUCUUCCUCCUCCACUCCCUCGCCGUCUGGUUCCUCGUCCUCAUCAGAAGCUGGAGCCCGGUCACGAACGCCACGUCUUCCUUUUUCACUGACACCAACGGCGGAGGGCCGGAGGUGGUCGGCGGCCGUGGAAGAGGAGAUGCGAGGCGGCCGCGGGCUCUCGCCGAUCGAGGACGUGGGAUCCUCGUCCUAGGAAGGGGACGACGAUCUGACCUGCUGAUGGUAAACAUUUGUGUUCGUGGGUCUGCGGAGGAACUCACUCUUCUGCAGAUCAUGGCUACCUGCUUCCGGCGAUUUGAGGACAUGGCUGUAGUGAUUGAUUUCUUGUGGAGCACACUACCAAGUUUCUGAAGAAAAUCAAACAUGAACAUAAUAUGUGUUCCAUCAUUCCAUGUUCCUUCUUUGGUCAUUCGACUGGCGGAGCUAUAGUUUUAAAGGUAAAAUGUCAUUACGCAAACUCUUGUAUUCUUCUAUAGGCUGUUGCUGCAUUUAUUUCUCUUGUGCUGUCAAAGUUUCAAUUCAAAGGAGCUAGCAAACCAGGCAUGGUUGUGUCAAGGGACUCAGCCGCUUUGUUUGCUGUUGGCCAAAUACUCAGACCCGGUAGUCUAACUGUUGGAACUGGUCCCCUCGCUAGAGGGGAUGAAUAACAAUUUGCGGAUUCAUUGAUUGUAGUUCAAUGUGUUUAUUUAUAGAGUUAUACGCAACAGAUAAUAUAAAUAAAAAAUACAUAAUAGAACAAGCAUAAGAGAUAAACUAUUUUACAUGGUUCAAAACCCUUAAUUUCUAUUCCACGGUCUACUGUCCUAGUAAUAACACCAUCUCUCCUUGUUGAAUACCUUCUAGCGGCCGAGAAACCUCUCACAGCUCUCUAUUCUUUACCAGCAACAUGAAUAAGAAAACAAGAAUAAAAUUGAAAAAUAAAAUAUAAUAUAAAUAAUAAUUUACACAAAUGAAUCUCCUUUGUAGUUAUUUUUAAUUGUCUCUUGAAGGUAUGCAAAUACAAUAACACUCUCCUUCCAAACCCCCAAGAAUUAUUGUCAAAAUCUUCCAUGAAACCAUUUAUAUAACCUUCAGGUUACAAUUGAUUUUCACCCUAAUAACUGACUGAUAGCGCCCGUUAGUUAUUGCUCCACUGAAUUUGAAUAUUGCACUGACAGAAUGACUCUGUCUAAUUCAGUUUUAUCCACAUCUGUCAAUCGUUCAUGACCAUAAAUCAACUGAUACCUAAACAAUGAGUCACAUAGUUGAACUGAGAAUUUUUUGUUCUCUCUGAAAUGCCCAAGCAAUCGACUGAUCAUACUCAUAGUCGACUGAUGGUGAUUAGUUGACUUGGCCAAUCGAUAUUAGAACAUUUCAUUCAUUGUGAUAGUGACAACAAUCGACUCAUAGUCGACUGAUGGUGAUUAGUUGACUUGGCCAAUCGAUAUUAGAACAUUUCAUUCAUUGUGAUAGUGACAACAAUCGACUACUCCAAACUAUCAAUCGAUUAAUCGUCAUUAGUCGAGUUCUAAACAUUUUAUUUAUCGCAAUAAUAUCAUCAGUCGAUUAAUCAAAUUCAUCAAUCGACUAAUGUGCAAUAAGCCCCCUUAAACACCCUCAAAUCUUAAAUUCUAGGUUUAGGAGUUCAUCAGUUGAUUGUUACUACAUAGCAGUCGUUUUGAUACCUUUGUUUCAACCUUACCAAAAUUAAAUUCUCGCCUUACUUGGUAUAUGGUUGACUUCAACCUACCAAAACUUCUUUUGUUUAGCAUUCAAUCAACUUUGACAUGCCGGGACUUCAUUGUUAGAUAUCAUCUAGUCAACUUUGACUUGCUAUGACUUCAUAAUUGUUUAGCAUUUUGUCAAUCUACCGGGUGAUAACCCAUGAAUCGUAGCACGAUAUCAAACACAAUUAAUUUAUCAAACACCUCUACACUAAUGUAAAAUAGAGAUGACUCGGGCCGUCCCUCGCAAAGAAUGUUAUUGCUUUUUGAUUUUGAUGUUUAGAAUGGGCGUUUGGAUUUUGAAUUUUAAGACUAUAAAAUGAAAUAACAAUGCAUAUAAUGAAAUCUAAUCUUAAUAAAUGAAUGACAAUACAAGUAAAGGAAAUCUAGUUUAACCUAAACUAUAAUUGCAAAGCAUGAAAGACAACAUGAAGAAAGUUAAACAUUUAACGAUCCUAAAACAUUCAACAAAAACAUAAUCUAAUAUACUCUACUUGCAUCCAACUUAAUGACAAGAACAAAUAUCAACAAAACAAGCAUUACACGAAAUUAAACUAACCUAAUUGCAAUGCAUAAAAGAACACAAGUGGUUAAGGGAAUUUAUCGAACACUGAAUAAGCCUAAAUCAAAUUAAACUAAGUAUGUGCAAUCUUAACAUGAGAGUUAAAUUUGAUACAAGUAUUCAACACACAAUUAACAAUCUAAGGUAAAAAAACAACCCAACACAUCGAAGACUUAAACCCAACUUGCGAACAAAUCUUCUCCCUUGAUUGAAAUGGAUGAUGGUGGUUGCGGAUGUUUCUUUAGAAGCAGGUUGAUCAACACACGGAUGAAGGACCUCUUUCCUUCUAACUCGAAGUGGAAGAUAACCAGAUUUGUGAUGUGCAUAGGUUAUAUAUGUUUGUAGGCAUUAUUUGGCGCACAUCUACUUGUAUUUCAUGAGUAUAAUUUAUGCUUAUUGCAUCCUGUUUCAUUAUUAUAUCGCACUUCCAUUCUAUUUUUUUUUUUUUGGAGAUCUGCUCCUUUCUUGUUUUUUUUGACAAAACGUAAAUUGGAGCAAAAAUGGAGCAAAGACAUGAAUUGAAACAACUUGUAAAGAUCCAUCAAUUUGGUUGUGCCCCCUCUUGUCACGACCAUGUGCCCCCUCUCGGCACGCCCAUGUGCCUCCUACCAAAAAGCCAUGGGCAAGCCAUGCCUUUAAGGCACGACUGUGCCUCAUCCUCAGCAAGACCCACGGGCAGGUUGUGCCAUAAGGCAUAGUCAUGCCUCUCUUCUCAACCGGACACACGACUUAGUCAUGCCAAAAGACACGGUUGUGUCCCUCUUUUCAGCAAGAGACAAGGUCAUGCCUCUUUCUUCCACCACAGCCAGACCGUGCUUUCAUGCACGAUUGUGCCACCUUGGGCCACAUCGAGCAUGCCACGAUCGUGCCUCCUAGCACGGUUGUGUAGCAGAGAAAGUGAGGAGGUCGUGCCCCUCUAUAUAAGGGGAUUUUCACCCCUUAGGUCACAUCCUUGGUUUGGGGCACUGCCCCUUCCUUUGGGAAGGAUUUUACCCUCUAGAGGAAAUCGUAGAGCCUCCUUCAAGCCGUCAACGAUUUGUCCUCCUUCAGAGUAAGGAAACACUUCGAAGACAUCGACAACACAAUGCUAAGCAUCUCUUCUCCUCUAUUCUUGAAUUUUGGUUGUAAAAAUGCUUUAUUUUAUGUCUUUGGUUUGUUAUUCCUUCACAAUGGAGUAGACCUCUAAUUCUUAAUACGUAGAGAGUAGUUUUGAUGUGAUAUUAGCGAAUGAAUUAUGUAUUUGGACAUUUUCUUAUGCUAUGAUAUGUUUUGUGACU